CUCAUAUUGAACCUAGUGAUGUAUGAGUUAGUGGCGGACGGGUGAGUAACGCGUGGAGAACCUGCCGUAUACUGGGGGAUAACACUUAGAAAUAGGUGCUAAUACCGCAUAAGCGCACAGCUUCGCAUGAAGCAGUGUGAAAAACUCCAGUGGUAUACGAUGGAUCCGCGUCUGAUUAGCUUGUUGGCGGGGUAAAGGCCCACCAAGGCGACGAUCAGUAGCCGGCCUGAGAGGGUGAACGGCCACAUUGGGACUGAGACACGGCCCAAACUCCUACGGGGGGCAGCAGUGGGGAAUAUUGCACAAUGGGGGAAACCCUGAUGCAGCGACGCCGCGUGAGUGAAGAAGUAUUUCGGUACGUAAAGCUCUAUCAGCAGGGAAGAAAUAAAGUCCUUCGGACUUUGGACGGUACCUGACUAAGAAGCCCCGGCUAACUACGUGCCAGCAGCCGCGGUAAUACGUAGGGGGCAAACGUUAUCCGGAUUUACUGGGUGUAAAGGGAGCGUAGACGGCAGCGCAAGUCUGGAGUGAAAUCCCAUGGCUUAACCAUGGAACUGCUUUGGAAACUGUGCAGCUGGAGUGCAGGAGAGGUAAGCGGAAUUCCUAGUGUAGCGGUGAAAUGCGUAGAUAUUAGGAGGAACACCAGUGGCGAAGGCGGCUUACUGGACUGUAACUGACGUUGAGGCUCGAAAGCGUGGGGAGCAAACAGGAUUAGAUACCCUGGUAGUCCACGCUGUAAACGAUGAUUACUAGGUGUUGGGGGA
rnacentral:rRNA from 1 species